CCUACGGGGGGCUGCAGUCGGGAAUUUUGGGCAAUGGGCGAAAGCCUGACCCAGCAACGCCGCGUGAAGGAUGAAGUAUUUCGGUAUGUAAACUUCGAAAGAAUGGGAAGAAUAAAUGACGGUACCAUUUAUAAGGUCCGGCUAACUACGUGCCAGCAGCCGCGGUAAUACGUAGGGACCAAGCGUUGUUCGGAUUUACUGGGCGUAAAGGGCGCGUAGGCGGCGUGUCAAGUCAAUUGUGAAAUCUCCGAGCUUAACUCGGAACUGCCAAUUGAUACUGAUGUGCUAGAGUGCAGAAGGGGCAAUCGGAAUUCUUGGUGUAGCGGUGAAAUGCGUAGAUAUCAAGAGGAACACCUGAGGUGAAGACGGGUUGCUGGGCUGACACUGACGCUGAGGCGCGAAAGCUAGGGUAGCAAACGGGAUUAGAUACCCUAGUAGUC
rnacentral:rRNA from 1 species